GACGAACGCUGGCGGCGUGCUUAACACAUGCAAGUCGAACGGAAAGGCCCUGCUUUGGUGGGGUGCGCGAGUGGCGAACGGGUGAGUAACACGUGAGUAACCUGCCCUUGACUGUGGGAUAACUUCAGGAAACUGGGGCUAAUACCGGAUAGGAGCUCCUGCUGCAGGGUGGGGGUUGGAAAGUUUAGGCGGUUGGGGGUGGACUAGCGGCUUAUCAGCUUGUUGGUGGGGUAGUGGCUUACCAAGGCUUUGACGGGUAGCCGGGCUGAGCGGGUGACCGGCCACAUUGGGACUGAGCUGCGGCCCAGCCUACUACGGGAGGCGGCAGUGGGGAAUAUUGCACAGUGGGCGGAAGCCUGAUGCAGCAACGCCGCGUGCGGGAUGACGGCCUUCGGGUUGUAAACCGCUUUCGCCUGUGACGAAGCGUGAGUGACGGUAAUGGGUAAAGAAGCACCGGCUAACUACGUG
rnacentral:rRNA from 1 species